AGUAACACGUGGAUAACCUACCUAUAAGACUGGGAUAACUUCGGGAAACCGGAGCUAAUACCGGAUAAUAUAUUGAACCGCAUGGUUCAAUAGUGAAAGACGGUUUUGCUGUCACUUAUAGAUGGAUCCGCGCCGCAUUAGCUAGUUGGUAAGGUAACGGCUUACCAAGGCAGCGAUGCGUAGCCGACCUGAGAGGGUGAUCGGCCACACUGGAACUGAGACACGGUCCAGACUCCUACGGGAGGCAGCAGCA
rnacentral:rRNA from 1 species